GAUGAACGCUGGCGGUAUGCUUAACACAUGCAAGUCGAACGGACUCUUCGGAGUUAGUGGCGGACGGGUGAGUAACGCGUGAGAAUCUGGCUUUGGGUUCGGGACAACCACUGGAAACGGUGGCUAAUACCGGAUGUGCCGAGAGGUAAAAGAGAAAUUGCCUGAAGAUGAGCUCGCGUCUGAUUAGCUAGUUGGUGAGGUAAAGGCUCACCAAGGCAGCGAUCAGUAGCUGGUCUGAGAGGAUGACCAGCCACACUGGGACUGAGACACGGCCCAGACUCCUGCGGGAGGGAGCAGUGGGGAAUUGUCCGAAAGGGGCGAGAGCCUUACAGAGCAAUACCGCGUGAGGGAAGAAGGCUCUUGGGUUAUAAACCUCUUUUCUUAGGGAAGAACAAAAUGACGGUACCUAAGGAAUCAGCAUCGGCUAACUCCGUG
rnacentral:rRNA from 1 species